CCACGGGUUACCAUGGCAACGCUCCGCGCGGCACUAAGAGCCGCGAGAUUUACACAGGGAGCUGUAGGAGCUGCUUGCAAGGUAAGUCAGCGCUUGCUGCUGCUGAGCCACCACUGUACUUAACAAGCCACUGGACCACCAGGGGAUACUAUAUCCCCCUCCCUGGUAAAAAGCAGGGAGGGGGGACUAAACAAAAAAAACCAAACAUUUAAAUAUUAAAAAAAAUAUUAAAAUAAAAAAUUACACAAAUUACAUCACUACACAAACACACACACACACAAACACAUACUGCAUUACAUACACACUACACAAACACACACUACACAAACACACACUGGG